CCUACGGGUGGCUGCAGUGAGGAAUAUUGGUCAAUGGGCGUAAGCCUGAACCAGCCAAGUAGCGUGAGGGAUGAAGGUUCUAUGGAUCGUAAACCUCUUUUAUAAGGGAAUAAAGUGCGGGACGUGUCCCGUUUUGUAUGUACCUUAUGAAUAAGGAUCGGCUAACUCCGUGCCAGCAGCCGCGGUAAUACGGAGGAUCCGAGCGUUAUCCGGAUUUAUUGGGUUUAAAGGGUGCGUAGGCGGCCUUUUAAGUCAGCGGUGAAAGUUUGCGGCUCAACCGUAGAAUUGCCGUUGAAACUGGCAGUCUUGAGUAUGUUAGAGGCAGGCGGAAUGCGUGGUGUAGCGGUGAAAUGCUUAGAUAUCACGCAGAACCCCGAUUGCGAAGGCAGCCUGC
rnacentral:rRNA from 1 species